rnacentral:rRNA from 1 species
GAAGGUGCUUGCACCUGAUUGACUCAAUUGAAUCACUAGUGGCGGACGGGUGAGUAACGGCUGGGUAACCUGACCUCACACAGGGGGAUAACAGUUGGAAACGACUGUUAAUACCGCAUAAGCGCACAGUACCGCAUGGUACAGUGUGAAAAACUCCGGUGGUGUGAGAUGGACCCGCGUCUGAUUAGCUAGUUGGCGAGGUAAGGCCCACCAAGGCAACGAUCAGUAGCCGGCCUGAGAGGGUGUACGGCCACAUUGGGACUGAGACACGGCCCAAACUCCUACGGGAGGCAGCAGUGGGGAAUAUUGGACAAUGGGGGAAACCCUGAUCCAGCCGACGCCGCGUGAGUGAUGAAGUAUUUCGGUAUGUAAAGCUCUAUCAGCAGGGAAGAAAUUGACGGUACCUGACUAAGAAGCACCGGCUAAAUACGUGCCAGCCGCCGC